CACCUCUAGCAUUACCAGUAUUAGAGGCACUGCCUGCCCAGUGACAUUAGUUAAACGGCCGCGGUAUCCUGACCGUGCAAAGGUAGCAUAAUCAUUUGUUCCUUAAUUAGGGACUUGUAUGAAUGGCCCCACGAGGGUUUAACUGUCUCUUACUUUUAAUCAGUGAAAUUGACCUUCCCGUGAAGAGGCGGGAAUACAAAAAUAAGACGAGAAGACCCUAUGGAGCUUAAAUUAAUAUGUUCAACAGAAUUUAAUUAUAGCCCAAUAGGAAUAAAAAUAUUCUAACUGAACAAUAAAUUUUGGUUGGGGUGACCUCGGAGUAUAACAUAACCUCCGAGCAAUUAAACCAAGACUUACCAGUCAAGGCUAUAUAACUUAUUGAUCCAAUCUUAUUGAUCAACGAAACAAGUUACCCUAGGGAUAACAGCGCAAUCCUAUUUAAGAGUUCAUAUCGACAAUAGGGUUUACGACCUCGAUGUUGGAUCAGGACACCCAAAUGGUGCAGCAGCUAUUAAAGGUUCGUUUGUUCAACG
rnacentral:rRNA from 1 species